CCCAGCAAAACGUUAACAUAAAAUCGUAACAUAUAUAAUAAUAGAGCGAAACUAUCAGUGUAGUAUGUUUACGAGGCUAAAAAUAACUGCCAACAAAUCUAGAAUGAAGUGAGAAAUGUAGGACAAAAUGUGUGGUAGAAGAAAACAAAUCACGAAUAAUGGGAUAAUGUGCUAGUUUUGCAUAAAUUAUUAUAUAACAAUUAGGAUACAGGACCAGACUUCAUAGUAUUACCAAUUAUAGUCAGAGGUAGAACUAGAUUUGAUUUUCCCUCAUGCUCUUAACAAUUUGCAAUGUCUUAUCGUUCCACUCGCCUGCUGUGGAGGAAAAUUAUUAGAAUGAAGUGACCAAGAGCACGUCUGGAUGUGGUUUCCUCGUCGUUGAAUCAGAUAUUUGGAGUAAAAUCGUCAAUUGAAAACACCGUUGUUAAAACGAAAGAUGACUAUGUAUUCAACGCCCGCUUUUGUUGAAUUGGAUGGUGCACAUGAAUCCAUUGGUGUGACAUCUUCCCGAAGCACGCCUGCCUGAAGAACAACUUGUUGAAACAGAGUUACAAGUUGAAACAGAAUUAUUCUUGAUAUGUGCUGAUACGAUCACUGUUAACAUACAUACAUCUCACUGUUAACAUAUACCAAAUUCCAUGGGCACUCUCAUGCGAACAGUCAAAAUUAUGUCAUCCUUGGAACGGUGACUCACGAAUUACUGGACACAUUGUUAUUGCUAUUUUAUUCAUAUAAAAAACUCGAUGGGCCACACGGCCUAAUCAAGAACCCUCGAACACAUGAGGAAUUACCAAAGCAUACUCAAGUAAAAGAACAAUUUCGGCUAGUUAGACGUUGUGGAAUGUUGUCAGAAUGGGAGAAAAACGACUGAUCAUGCUGUUACCAUGAAACAAGUCAUACAAACAACGCAAGCAACAAUCAUACAAACAACGCAAGCAACAAUCAUACAAACAACGCAAGCAACAAUCAUACAAACGAAUGGUAUGAGCAUUCUCAAGUGGCAGUCAUAUUCGGAAAAUUAGGACAUUGGCAAAGUGCUAAGAGCAUCAGGGCAAUGAGAAUCGUGUAUCUGCUUAUCAGAAUCUAGAACGCUUCAAUUGAACAUCCUUUUAGUAUGAAACAAUUAGUUUUUGUUAAUUUAGUCUAUGGCAAAUAUUGUCAGUUAAUUGAAAGUUAUCUUAAGAUUAGAGAUUAAGAGUUAAGAUGAAAUAAUUUAUAUUUUAUAUGUUAUGUUAGACUUGGUAAAAUUUCAGCAGGAUUGCAGGUUGUCAUAUCAAAUAUUUGUUUUUUUUUUAAUUAUUAGUAUACAUGAGGCUAACAAAAUCUAUGUUCUAAUAAUAUCCAUGUUGAAGUGAAGUGAGGACGAAUCACUAUUAAAACUCAAACAUUAUGCCAAGGGUCUCGCCGACCAUUUAGGAUUCAACUAUGCUGGAGCAAACGAAUAGUUUAAGCUUA